rnacentral:snoRNA from 1 species
CCUCCUUUCUUGGCAUGCAUGCUGUUGCCCUGUAUAUCGUGUGUGUGUGUGUGAUGGAGAGAAACCAAGGACAGUGCUAUGUAUUCGGUGCCAGAAUGUCCCCGACUUCUGGUUCUAUGCUCAAUCGCUGGUACAUUC